GAUCCUGGCUCAGGAUGAACGCUGGCGGCGUGCUUAACACAUGCAAGUCGAACGAAGCACCUUAUUCUGAUUUCUUCGGAAUGAAAAAUUUGGUGACUGAGUGGCGGACGGGUGAGUAACGCGUGGGUAACCUGCCUCAUACAGGGGGAUAGCCCAUGGAAACGUGGAUUAAUAUCCCAUAGUACUGAGAAUCCGCAUGGUUUUUCAGUUAAAGCUUCGGUGGUAUAAGAUGGACAUGCGUCCUA
rnacentral:rRNA from 1 species